UGGGGAAUAUUGCACAAUGGGCGCAAGCCUGAUGCAGCGACGCCGCGUGAGGGAUGGAGGCCUUCGGGUUGUAAACCUCUUUCGCCAGUGAAGCAGGCCAUCUUCUUUGUGGGGUGGUUGACGGUAGCUGGAUAAGAAGCGCCGGCUAACUACGUGCCAGCAGCCGCGGUAAUACGUAGGGCGCGAGCGUUGUCCGGAAUUAUUGGGCGUAAAGAGCUCGUAGGCGGCUGGUCGCGUCUGUCGUGAAAUCCCCUGGCUUAACUGGGGGCUUGCGGUGGGUACGGGCGGGCUUGAGUGCGGUAGGGGAGACUGGAAUUCCUGGUGUAGCGGUGGAAUGCGCAGAUAUCAGGAGGAACACCGGUGGCGAAGGCGGGUCUCUGGGCCGUUACUGACGCUGAGGAGCGAAAGCGUGGGGAGCGAACAGG
rnacentral:rRNA from 1 species